GCUUAACCGGAGAAGUGCAUCGGAAACUGGAUAACUUGAGUGCAGAAGAGGGUAGUGGAACUCCAUGGGUAGCGGUGGAAUGCGUAGAUAUAUGGAAGAACACCAGUGGCGAAGGCGGCUACCUGGUCUGCAACUGACGCUGAGACUCGAAAGCAUGGGUAGCGAACAGGAUUAGAUACCCUGGUAGUCCAUGCCGUAAACGAUGAGUGCUAGGUGUUGGAGGGUUUCCGCCCUUCAGUGCCGGAGCUAACGCAUUAAGCACUCCGCCUGGGGAGUACGACCGCAAGGUUGAAACUCAAAGGAAUUGACGGGGGCCCGCACAAGCGGUGGAGCAUGUGGUUUAAUUCGAAGCUACGCGAAGAACCUUACCAGGUCUUGACAUCUUGCGCCAACCCUAGAGAUAGGGCGUUUCCUUCGGGAACGCAAUGACAGGUGGUGCAUGGUCGUCGUCAGCUCGUGUCGUGAGAUGUUGGGUUAAGUCCCGCAACGAGCGCAACCCUUGUUACUAGUUGCCAGCAUUAAGUUGGGCACUCUAGUGAGACUGCCGGUGACAAACCGGAGGAAGGUGGGGACGACGUCAGAUCAUCAUGCCCCUUAUGACCUGGGCUACACACGUGCUACAAUGGACGGUACAACG
rnacentral:rRNA from 1 species